rnacentral:rRNA from 1 species
UACGGAGGAUGCAAGCGUUAUCCGGAAUUAUUGGGCGUAAAGCGUCCGCAGGUGGCACUUCAAGUCUGCUGUUAAAUACUAGGGCUCAACCCUGGAGCGGCAGUGGAAACUGAAGAGCUAGAGUACGGUAGGGGUAGAGGGAAUUCCCGGUGUAGCGGUGAAAUGCGUAGAGAUUGGGAAGAACACCGAUGGCGAAAGCGCUCUGCUGGGACGAAACUGACACUCAUGGACGAAAGCUAGGGGAGCGAAUGGG